rnacentral:rRNA from 1 species
GACGAAGGUGGCGAGCGUUACUCGGAAUUACUAGGCGUAAAGCAUGGGCAGGCGGUUCGGCAAGUCUGUUGUGAAAGCUCCUGGCUUAACCGGGAGAGGUCAAUGGAUACUACCGGGCUUGAAUCGGGGAGAGGUCACUGGAAUUCCUGGUGUAGAGGUGAAAUUCGUAGAUAUCAGGAGGAACACCAGUGGCGAAGGCGGCUUUCUGGACGGUAACUGACGCUGAGACGCGAAAGCGUGGGGAGCAAACAGG